rnacentral:misc_RNA from 1 species
GUGGCAGUGGUCUCAAGGCCUUGCACAUUGGACCCAUGACCAAGUUCAGUUUGAGCAUAACAGCCAAUUAUUUGCAUCUUGUAAGCCAGCGGCAGCCACUUUUCCUGCUGUUUAUCUGUGCCCUGUCCUUUUAUGGCAGGUAUAAACAUUCCCCAAUGAAGAUCAGUAAAAGCAGGCUCAUCUACGUAACGCCUUAACAUAGUGGCUUCCUCUUGAGAUAGACGAAGUUCAAUGAUCCGUUUCCAUGCAUAUGCUGCCUUCCUUAGAGUGUUCUUGAAUAGCUCUUUCCUAGGAAGCAUGGUUCUUCCCUCCUUACUGAAGCCAGGAUCACUAGCAACAAGCUUAGAGAUACGAUCUGUAAGUUCAAAAUCAUGACGAGAACCAGCCCAAACAAUCUUCAUCUCAUCCACAUCAAAUCCAGCUUUCUUCCUCUCAUCAGCCAAAUAAUCUACACCCUCCAUCUCUCUUACUCUCAGAUCAAAACCAAAAUUCUUACACAAUGAAAAAAAAUCCAAUCUUGGGUUGUUUUACAAAUACCCAAUUGAAUUCUUGAAAAAAAGAAAAGAUAAG